rnacentral:rRNA from 1 species
CCUACGGGUGACAGCAGUAGGGAAUCUUCCACAAUGGACGAAAGUCUGAUGGAGCAACGCCGCGUGAGUGAAGAAGGGUUUCGGCUCGUAAAGCUCUGUUGGUAGGGAAGAAAGAUAGAGGUAGUAACUGGCCUUUAGUGGACGGUAAUUACUGAGAAAGUCACGGCUAACUACGUGCCAGCAGCCGCGGUAAUACGUAGGUGGCAAGCGUUGUCCGGAUUUAUUGGGCGUAAAGCGAGUGCAGGCGGUUCAAUAAGUCUGAUGUGAAAGCCUUCGGCUCAACCGGAGAAUGGCAUCCGAAACUGUUGAACUUGAGUGCAGAAGAGGAGAGUGGAACUCCCUGUGUAGCGGUUGAAUGCGUAGAUAUAUGG